rnacentral:tRNA from 3 species
GUCCCGUUCGUCUAGUGGCCUAGGACACCGCCCUUUCACGGCGGUAACAGGGGUUCAAACCCCCUACGGGACGCCA